UGCGUAGGCGGCUUUUUAAGUCGGAUGUGAAAUCCCUGAGCUUAACUUAGGAAUUGCAUUCGAUACUGGGAAGCUAGAGUAUGGGAGAGGAUGGUAGAAUUCCAGGUGUAGCGGUGAAAUGCGUAGAGAUCUGGAGGAAUACCGAUGGCGAAGGCAGCCAUCUGGCCUAAUACUGACACUCAGACCCGAAAGCGUGGGUAGCAAACAGGAUUAGAUACCCCAGUA
rnacentral:rRNA from 1 species